rnacentral:lncRNA from 1 species
AAAUGGCUUAGUUUUCUAUUAUCUGCCAUUUCCAGUAGAGCUCUUUCUCCUUCAGGGCAAAGAAUGAAAGAAAGUUAAUCGUUCCUACCAGAAGUGUUGAAGAAUCAGAGAGCUAAGGUAUGUAGUUUUGACGACAAAGCAUCACGAAGGCUUCACAAACUGGCCGAGUCCUGUGUCUUGGAACUGGAACUCCAAAGACGUGGGGCCUCAUCGGGAUUUGGUUGGUGAAUUGGGAACAGCUCUCCGGAAGAGGAACAUCCGCUAUGGACUAUACCACUCACUCUUAGAGUGGUUCCAUCCACUCUAUCUACUUGAUAAGAAAAAUGGCUUCAAAACACAGCAUUUUGUCAGUGCAAAAACAAUGCCAGAGCUGUACGACCUUGUUAACAGCUAUAAACCUGAUCUGAUCUGGUCUGAUGGGGAGUGG